CAAAGGUGGAAGGGCGCACGGUGGAUGCCUCGGCGCCAGGAGCCGAUGAAGGGCGCGGCAAGCGGCGAAACGCCCCGGGGAGCCGCAAGCGGGCCGGGAU
rnacentral:rRNA from 1 species